rnacentral:lncRNA from 1 species
GUGGUGGUGGUGCUCCGUGCAUUGGAGGAGGCGGUGGAGGAGCUCUAGACAUUGGAGGAGGUGGAGGUGGAGGGGCUCCAGACAUUGGAGGAGGUGGAGGAGCUCUGGACAUUGGUGGGGGUGGAGGGGAGCCAUACAUUGGAGGAGGGGGAGGUGGAGGGGCUCUGGACAUUGGAGGAGGGGGAGGUGGAGGGGCUUUGGACAUUGGAGGAGGUGGAGGUGGAGGUGGGGAUCCACCUGACUGAGGAAGAGGUGGUGGUGGGGGCGGUGGAGCUCUACUAAAAGGAGAAGGUGGGGACUGGGAUGUACUAAAAGGGGGUGGAGGAGGUGGGGGUGGUGUUGGUGGAGCACU